AAUUUUGGGGUACAACACUAUCACACCAAAACAUAAAACAAAUAUGAGGGCAUACAUUGUCUUUCAGGAAAUUUCAACACCAAAUAAAUAAUUCGCUCCCCAGUGUUACAUAUCAGAGCAUAACCAAAGCUGACAAGAAUAAACUAAAAGAAAUAGCUUUAUGAGCUAACUUCCACUCACAACAGCGUCGUCUACUCUUCAGUAUCUCCACGAUGCCCAUGUAAAGGCAACAUUCAAACAGAAGGGAUGAGAAUUCAUUUCAAUAAUAACAACAUAGAAUAUAA
rnacentral:lncRNA from 1 species